rnacentral:rRNA from 1 species
UGGGGAAUAUUGCGCAAUGGGCGAAAGCCUGACGCAGCGACGCCGCGUGGGUGAGGAAGGCCUUCGGGUCGUAAAGCCCUGUCAGAGGGGAAGAAGUAAGUGACGGUACCCUCAAAGGAAGCACCGGCUAACUCCGUGCCAGCAGCCGCGGUAAUACGGAGGGUGCAAGCGUUGUUCGGAAUCAUUGGGCGUAAAGCGAGUGUAGGCGGUAUGUUAAGUCAGAGGUGAAAGCCCUGGGCUCAACCCAGGAAGUGCCUUUGAUACUGGCAUGCUUGAGUACGGGAGAGGGUAGCGGAAUUCCAAGUGUAGAGGUGAAAUUCGUAGAUAUUUGGAGGAACACCGGUGGCGAAGGCGGCUACCUGGACCGAUACUGACGCUGAGACUCGAAAGCGUGGGGAGCAAACA